CCAACGCUCCCCCACCCGGCCCAUCCACGCGGGGAAAUAUUCCUGGAUGCCUAAGGCCGGACACGUUUCCCCGUCGCGGUCUCUACGGUCCAAGGUGACCUCCACGGUCUGCGCCGCCACCAUUCGCUCUGCCUCCAUGGUCUCCACGGUCUGAGCCGCCAGCAUCGAGGGGGAGGGUCGGAGGGACACGAGCGGAUCCGAGGCGGCCUCCAUGGUCUGCGCCGCCACCAUCCGCUCUGCCGCCCUUCGCUCCACUUCGAAGAGCUGGAGCUUGAAGCGCUGAGCCUUUACCUGUGCGCGGACCAAACCAUAGGAUUUGUUCAUGCACGGGAGAGGAAUCAAGAUCUGCGCCUCCUAGACAUCGCGGAUUGUGUCCGCAAGGCCGUGGAGUUUACGGUCCACUGGGGCGCAGCAGUGGCUCUCGCCAUUGCGCACCUAAACUUUGGUGGUAACCUCCAUGAUGCCAUUGGUCUCCCUUAUGGAUCGACGACAGCGGACUUAGACCUUCUAAAUGCACACACGUCACACGACAUGAGUUGGAGAGUAUUAUGGGUAAUUUGGGUACUAAAAUUAAUACAUGAACUACUAGAAUUAAAUUUGGGUAUCUAGAGUUACUAUGUGAAAUUAUUACUCUAUCCUCAUUGAUACGACAACAGCUAUACAUGUCAUGUCACUACUCUCUACGUAAAUGAAUUUUUAUUCCAUAUCUUCUUUUA